rnacentral:miRNA from 1 species
AUAUAUGUGUGUGUGUGCAUAUAUGUGUGUGUGUGGAUGUAUAUACAUAUAUACACACACGCACACAUACAUACACAUACACACACACACACA